rnacentral:rRNA from 1 species
ACGAACGCUGGCGGCGUGCUUAACACCUGCAAGUCGAACGGAAAGGCCCUGCUUUUGUGGGGUGCUCGAGUGGCGAACGGGUGAGUAACACGUGAGUAACCUGCCCUUGACUUUGGGAUAACUUCAGGAAACUGGGGCUAAUACCGGAUAGGAGCUCCUGCUGCAUGGUGGGGGUUGGAAAGUUUCGGCGGUUGGGGAUGGACUCGCGGCUUAUCAGCUUGUUGGUGGGGUAGUGGCUUACCAAGGCUUUGACGGGUAGCCGGCCUGAGAGGGUGACCGGCCACAUUGGGACUGAGAUACGGCACAGACUCCUACGGGAGGCAGCAGUGGGGAAUAUUGCACAAUGGGCGGAAGCCUGAUGCAGCAACGCCGCGUGCGGGAUGACGGCCUUCGGGUUGUAAACCGCUUUCGCCUGUGACGAAGCGUGAGUGACGGUAAUGGGUAAAGAAGCACCGGCUAACUACGUG